CCCCCCAAAAUUCCAUUAAUUUUCAUGAACCCCUAAUUUAUAAUGAAUGACUCCAUAUUUAUAUGGAAGACACCAUGCUAGGAUUAGUAACAAGAAUUUAUAAUUCUCCAAAAUGCAAAUAUAAACCAACAUGGAUGGACCAUUGGUAGUUACCGAACCUAAAUUUUAUGCAAUAACACCCACAAGAAAACUCUGCAGUACUUACUCGUUAACCUAACACCAGCGCAUUACAGGAAAGAUUUAAAAAAAGAGAAGGAAUUCGGCAAAUGACGGCCCCGCCUGUUUACCAAAAACAUCGCCUCUUGACUUAUAAUAAGAGGUCCAGCCUGCCCAGUGAAUUUUAAACGGCCGCGGUAUUCUAACCGCGCGAAGGUAGCAUAAUCACUUGUUCUUUAAAUGGGGACUCGUAUCAACGGCAUCACGAGGGUUUUACUGUCUCCUCUUUUUGAUCAGUGAAAUUGAUCUUCCCGUGAAGAAGCGGGAAUAAAUUUAUAAGACGAGAAGACCCCAUGGAGCUUUAAACCAAAUAACAACUUAACCACUUAUCCCAUAAUAAAUUUAAACCCUGUUAUAAGGUUUUUGGUUGGGGUGACCGCGGAGUAAAGCACAUCCUCCACGACGGAAAGAACAAAAUCUUUAUUUAAGAACCACACUUCUAGAAAUUAGUAUACUAACGUUUACUGACCCGACAAUCGAUCAACGGACCAAGUUACCCUGGGGAUAACAGCGCAAUCUACUUCAAGAGCCCAUAUCGACAAGUAGGCUUACGACCUCGAUGUUGGAUCAGGGUAUCCCGGUGGUGCAGCCGCUACCGAAGGUUCGUUUGUUCAACGAUUAAAACCCUACGUGAUCU
rnacentral:rRNA from 1 species